rnacentral:misc_RNA from 1 species
CCAGUACAUUCACCAUCCUCAAAAACCAGUUUUAUUGCCUUCUCUGCAUCUGCAUUGCUGACUCCCUUCCUGAACAAUGCUUGCUUGAUCCGCCUGGGUCCCCAGCUUGAGGAAGACCAUCUAGAUCGAGAAAAUGUUUCUGCGUACAAGCUAUCAUUGAUCAACCCUCUGCUCUGGAAAUCGGUUAUCAAUGCCUCCACAAUAUCAGGAGGAAAUCUCUUCCCAUGUAAUUUCUUCCUCAGCUCUACCGCUGUAUAUGCUCUUGUAGCAAGAAUUUCAAUAGCCAUCUUCUCAGCAUCUAGCA